GUGAACCCUCAGCGUUAAUUGGGCAGACAAUCUGUAAACAUGAGUCACAUACAGAUCAAGCCAAAAGCACACUGAUAAUGCUUGAACCCUCCCCCUCUACUGCAACUGCCCCCACCAAUCUGUUUAGGGAGCUGGACUCAUUAGCGGUCUAGGCACAUCCUGGGAAGCUCUUCUAAAAAGUAACCCUUAUACCUGUGCAAAUGUCUCCCCUGUAAAAAGGUUUGGUGGCAUCUUGUCCGCGGAUGUCAUCCCAGACGGUACACAUACCUGGCUCCUCCAGAACUGAGGGAUUUCUAACAAUGACCUAGAGAGCUACCCACAGGACUGAGUCAGUCCAGCCAAAAGCGAAGACCAAACAAUCUGUUCCUGCUGACUUUCUCAUCCAGAGAAGCUGAUGAGAUGUCUACGGCAGAACAGGAAAAGAAGCCAUUUUUAGAAGUAACACCUACAUCCCAGGAUGUGGGGAGAGACAAAGAAAAAGAUUUUCUUGGUGUUAGCCGCUAUACAGAGUCCUCUCAUAAGACUCGAGAGCCAUAUUAAUACAGUUUUUAUGGGUUUUGUGGAAUAUUUUUCCCACAAGCCGUGCCUCUGCGUAACAGAUUCUAAGAUGGCCCCCAGUAGUCCCCACCUCCUGUGUUCAUGUCCUGUGUCAUCUCCUCCCCUUGGGUGUGGGUGGAACCUGUGACUUGCUGCCUACUGAUGGAAUAUGGCACUGACAGUGAGGAUGUUGCCACAGAGAGUGGGUUAUACAGUCUUUCUGGGAGACUCGGCAGCUUGCUGGCAUUGGGGAACUAGAAAGCUGUGUUAGGAUGCCCACAUGACAAGGAGCUAAGGAUGCCUUAUCCAAGACCUGGUUAGAAACUGAGACCCCUUAGUCACACAGAUGGAAGGGAGCUGAAUUCUGCUGACAACUAGGGAGACUUGAUCGUAACCAUUCCCUGGGGUUCACCUGGAGCUGAGACUGUAACCCCAAAUGAUGAAUUGACUGAGCUUUUCAGAUAAGAUGCUAAAACAGAGGACUCCAAAAAGCUACACCCUACUUCAGACACACAGGAACUAUGACGAUGGAAAAAAUAUGACAAGAGAAAAUGAAUUAAAGGGGCCAGAACAAUUUAAGGUAGCAGCAUAAUGUAUUAUUAUGCCAUCCUCAGAGCCUUUGUAGGCCUGCAUAGCCAAGGAGAAGCAGACCAGGAAAAUCAUCAAUGGUGAAGAGCCAUGCCAAGGCUGAAAGUUGGUGGAAGAUGGAGAAAAAUGCGAACUGCAGUAGGCAAAGGGGACAGGCGUUUUCUUUGGGGCCACCAAUCAGCUCCCAAAUCACGACAUAGAGACUUCUUAUUAGUUUUGAGUGAUGGGCCUAGCUUAGGCUUGUUUCUGGCUGGCUCUUUUCACUUAAAUUAAACGGUUUCUCUGUAUCUA